CGGCACCUCAAGUGGUCAGGAUGAUUAUUGGGCCUAAAGUAUCCGUAGCCGGCUCUGUAAGUUUUCGGUUAAAUCUGUAUGCUCAACAUACAGGCUGCCGGGAAUACUGCAGAGCUAGGGAGUGGGAGAGGUAGACGGUACUCGGUAGGAAGGGGUAAAAUCCUUUGAUCUAUUGAUGACCACCUGUGGCGAAGGCGGUCUACCAGAACACGUCCGACGGUGAGGGAUGAAAGCUGGGGGAGCAAACCGGAUUAGAUACCCGAGUAGUCC
rnacentral:rRNA from 1 species